CUGACAUUUCAGAAACCAACAUAAAUUCACGGCAACACAAUUUCUUUCCCUCAACAGAUCCUGCUCCAUUUAACAUUAUCCCAAAACAAAUCAACGAAGAAAAAGACAGCAU